UCUGGUUCUGUAAUAGAAGUAGAAGAAGAUCGAAUUUCAGGAACAACAAAAGGGAUUUAGGGUUCGGUGGUAGAGCAAAACCCACACCACACCAGGAUCUUGGUGAGUUUUCAUUCUUCUAUAUUCUUAUUUGUUUAAUUCGGUUAUGCCUAUGUUCUAUGGUGGUGCUCGAACUUGAAGAUCGAAUUCUAGAUUGGAUGUUAUAGUGUAGUAUUGUUUUGAUUUACGUGCUAGGGUUUUGAGUUCUUUAGGAGGAAGCCAUGGAAGAGGUGAAGCGUAAGUCUAGGAGAGAAGGGUCGGAGGACACGAGGAGGAGCCACCGCGAAAAGGAGAGGAACGUCGACAAACACAGGGAGAAGAGAGAACACCGCGAGUCUCGGCGUUCCGAGAGAGAAAAGAGUUCUGAUUCUGACAUUAGCUAUGAUAGAGAGAGGGAGAAAAGGGAUUCUACUAAGCACAAAGAGAGGGAGAAGGAUAGGACGAGAAGUCGGGAUGAUGAUAGAGAGAGGACUAGAGACAAGAAAAGGGAUCAUCGAGAGAGAGAAAAGGAGAAGCGGGCUAAGGAGAAAGAUCGAGAAAGAGAGAAGGAGAAGAGGGAAAGGGAAAGGGAAAGGGAGAGGGAGAAAGAAGAUAGAGAGAGGGAGAGAAGGGACAAGGACAGAGAAAGAGAGAAGAAAACACGCACCACCGAGAGGGAAAAGCGCCGGGAAGUUGAUAGUGAUGAUAGCAAUCAUGAUGUCAAAGACCACGAAAGGAAACGUCGUAGGAAAGAUGAUGGUGAUUACAAGGAGAAGGAGAAGGAUAGAGACAAGGAGAAGGAGAAGGAGAAGGAGAAGGAGAAGGAGAAGGAAAAGGAUAGAGACAAGGAGAAGGAGAAGGAUAGAGAUAAGGAGAAGGAGAAAGAACAUGAACGCAGUAGCAGUAGGCGUGAAGAGAGUCCUAAGAAGAGGAGUUCUGGGGAUGAUUCUGAUAAGCAAGAGCAAGCAACCCGUGAAGAGGAGUUAGAAAAUGAACAACUUAAAUUGGAUGAAGAAAUGGAGAAGCGAAGGAGGAGAGUUCAGGAGUGGCAAGAGUUAAAGAGGAAAAAGGAGGAAGCUGAAAGAGAGACACAUGGGGAGGAAGUUGCUGAUGAACCCAAGUCUGGAAAGGCUUGGACCCUUGACGGUGAAUCUGAAGAUGAUGAAGAACUUCCCUCUACCGAGAAAGUGGAGAUGGCUAUGGACAUUGAUGGUGGAGCUAACCAAAAUAAUAAUCAAGCUGGGGAUGAAAUGGCAAUAGAUUCUGAAAAUGGGUCUACUUCUCCACCUUUGCAGAAUGGGGUUGGUGGGGCUUCCGGGGAUGAUGAUAUUGAUCCAUUAGAUGCUUUUAUGAAUUCCAUGGUUUUGCCUGAAGUUGAGAAACUCAAUAGUGCUUCGGACCCUCCAGUUCAGGACAAGAAGAGUUCAGAGUUGAAGAACAAGGAUAAAAAGGAUGAUCAAAGCAAUGGUGAGCAACGUAGGAAGGGUGGUUCAAAUAAAUCAAUGGGCAGAAUCAUUCCAGGGGAGGAUUCUGACUCAGAUUAUGGGGACCUUGAUAAUGAUGGGGAUCCUGCAGAGGAUGAAGAUGAUGAUGAGUUCAUCAAAAGAGUAAAGAAGACCAAAGCUGAGAAGCUGUCUAUAGUUGAUCAUUCAAAAAUUGAUUAUAAGCCAUUUAGAAAGAAUUUCUAUAUUGAAUCUAAAGAAAUCUUGAGAAUGACUUCAGAAGAUGUUGCUGCAUACCGUACGCUUCUAGAAUUGAAGAUACAUGGUAAGGAUGUGCCAAAGCCAGUUAAAACCUGGCACCAAACUGGACUCACGAGUAAAAUAUUGGAUACAAUAAAAAAACUUGGGUAUGAAAAGCCGAUGUCAAUUCAAGCUCAGGCACUGCCUAUAAUUAUGAGUGGUCGAGACUGUAUUGGCAUUGCAAAAACUGGGUCAGGCAAAACACUGGCAUUUGUGCUUCCAAUGCUGAGGCAUAUAAAGGACCAGCCUCCUGUGGUUGCAGGAGAUGGGCCUAUUGGUCUUUUAAUGGCGCCGACAAGGGAGCUUGUCCAGCAGAUUCACAGUGAUAUAGUAAAGUUCACGAAGGCACUAGGCCUUACGUGUGUGCCUGUAUAUGGAGGCUCUGGUGUUGCCCAACAAAUUAGUAAAUUGAAGCGGGGUGCUGAAAUUGUUGUUUGUACACCUGGAAGAAUGAUUGACAUACUUUGCACAAGUGGUGGGAAAAUUACAAAUCUCCGAAGGGUCACUUAUUUGGUCAUGGAUGAAGCUGAUCGAAUGUUUGACAUGGGUUUUGAACCUCAAAUCACUCGAAUUGUUCAAAAUAUAAGACCGGAUAGACAGACUGUACUUUUUUCUGCUACUUUCCCUCGUCAAGUGGAAAUCUUAGCACGUAAAGUGUUAAACAAACCUGUGGAGAUACAGGUGGGUGGGAGGAGUGUUGUAAAUAAGGACAUUGCGCAACUGGUUGAAGUGAGGCCUGAAAAUGAAAGAUUUUUAAGGUUAUUGGAGCUGCUAGGUGAGUGGUAUGAGAAAGGGAAAAUUUUGAUUUUUGUCCAUUCUCAGGAAAAGUGUGAUGCUUUGUUCAGGGAUCUACUCAAGCAUGGUUAUCCUUGCCUCUCUCUUCAUGGGGCUAAGGACCAAACAGAUCGUGAGUCAACCAUUUCUGACUUUAAAAGCAAUGUUUGUAAUCUGUUGAUUGCAACCAGUGUUGCUGCCAGAGGGUUGGAUGUCAAGGAGCUGGAACUGGUGAUCAACUUUGAUGUUCCAAAUCACUAUGAGGACUAUGUUCACCGUGUUGGUCGAACAGGCCGAGCUGGCCGUAAAGGUUGUGCCAUAACAUUUAUCUCUGAUGAAGAUUCCAAAUAUGCUCCUGAUCUUGUAAAAGCUCUGGAACUCUCUGAGCAAGUUGUACCUGAUGACCUGAAAGCUCUAGCUGAGGGUUUCAUGGCAAAAGUAAAUCAGGGACUGGAACAAGCACAUGGAACUGGUUAUGGAGGAAGUGGUUUUAAGUUCAAUGAAGAGGAAGAUGAGGUGAGGAAAGCAGCUAAGAAAGCACAGGCCAAAGAAUAUGGUUUCGAAGAAGACAAGUCAGAUUCAGAAGACGAAGAUGAAGGUGUCCGCAAGGCAGGGGGUGACAUUUCACAGCAGACUGCACUUGCUAAAAUAUCUGCCCUCGCAGCAGCCUCUAAAGCUGCUACCCAUUCAAUGCCUACUCCUGUUAAUGCUGGUCAACUUCUUCCGAAUAGUGGACCUGUUUCUCUGCCGGGUGUUAUUGGUCUGACGUUACCUGGAACAGCAGCAGCGGUGCCUGGAGCUGGGUUGCCUGUUCUCAACGAUGGUGCAGCACGGGCAGCAGCUAUUGCUGCUGCAAUGAACUUGCAGCAUAACCUGGCAAAGAUUCAAGCUGAUGCAAUGCCUGAACACUAUGAAGCAGAGCUGGAGAUAAAUGAUUUCCCUCAGAAUGCUAGAUGGAAGGUCACACAUAAGGAAACAUUGGGACCUAUAUCAGAAUGGACUGGAGCUGCCAUUACUACUAGGGGGCAGUUCUUCCCACCUGGUAAAGUGGCAGGACCAGGAGAACGCAAACUGUACUUGUUUAUUGAGGGUCCUACGGAACAAUCUGUGAAAAGGGCUAAAGCUGAAUUGAAACGUGUGCUGGAAGACAUUUCAAACCAGGCAUUAUCACUUCCCGGUGGAACUCAGCCCGGCAAAUAUUCAGUUUUUUAAAACGUUUUGAAAUUGCAGUAGCAGACAGUAAUUUAGAUCCCAAGUUUAAUGAGUAAAAGGAGUGUACUACUAAUUGAGCAGGAGUGAUACUAUUAAAAGGGUUAGGAUUUCUCUGCAUACAUGGACUGCCUAAAGGUGACCCCUAAUUUGCAACUGCUGUAGUGCCCUGCUUUAAAAUAGCUGGUAUUUGGUGGCAUUGUGCUAUUUGAGAAAGUACAGUCGAGCCAUUUCACUAAAGAUUUUCUGUCAGGAAUUCUUUUUUAUGCCAAUGAUGAUGCAGCGUAGCCAUAAUAGGCGGGGGGGAGCCGUCCAACCGGUGAGAAGGAAAUCUCAGGGAGGUUUCAGGCUCGGAACUCGUACAUGAGAUCAUGAAAACAUGAGAGUCGUGUGCGUUUCCGAGUUAGCAACGGCAGCCUCACUUGGCUCGUUCAUGCAUCAUGAUGGGGUUGGCUGGUGGAUGGUUGGUGGGAGAGACUAUUCAUUCAAAUCAAAUAUUAUUUGUUUUAGAGAUUACGUUUUCUGUGUGCUUUUUUAUCUUUAUUUUCCUUUAAAAAAAACUGCAAGUACGUGUUACUAAAACAUUUAUGUCAAAUCGAUUGAGGAAGAAAAGUAUCAUUUGGCCAGAAUGAUAGUUAUAAUAAUGCAAUUGAGUUUAUCAAAGUAGUAAUAUAGUCUCAUUUUAUAGAAAGAUAGAAGAAAUUAGGUGAUAGUGAAUGGCGCCGCGUAUUCGUUUCUGGCAUGCGCUGACGCCAUGGCAUGGGUGGCACCAUAUGUUGUGUGUCUCGUUCUGUGUUAUCUAUUUGGAUUAUUCUUUGUGCCCAUGUGGACUUUAGAAACAUUCCAAAGAAUAUGAGUCACGUAUCUAAUCUUGUGGUCUCAUAUUAAAGGUUUGGUGUUUUUUUAUUCUUUCUUGUUGAUGGACCAAAAUGAGUCACGUUUGUUGUGUUCACAAAAAAAUUAUUAAAAAAGUCUAUUAAUGGGUCCAAGCAAAGUAAUUAUUAUU